AUCUGUUGUAUUGAAUUACUGACAAGCUUGCUUGUCUUACAGAAUGCAUGUCUCUUGGAUCCAGGUGAUACAUGGUCUUGCUUCUUGACUCUUGCACAUGUAUAUGAAAGCUUGAAAUAAGGUUCAGGAAAACAGUGUCCCAUAUCCAGUGAGCACUCAACCAUUGGUUUUCAUGCUAAAAUAUAAGCAUUAACCUUACAGUUAGGAUUAAUAAGAAACUGGUUUACUAGAACAUGAGAUAAUCCCUUAGCACAUGUACACUGCCUAGAAGUUCCUUCCAAUAUAAUCAGUGCAUUGUUAAAAAUCCAUGCCAUUCUUAAGUCUGCAAACUUGAAAAAUUUGUUUUAUAAUGUGGCAUCCUGUUUGCUUACACAAAACUAAUUUUAAGUUGGUUAAACUUACCAUUGCUUCCAAAAAAUUUCUGUAAGGAGGAAGGAGGUUUGCUUCUGUGGAAUUCUCUUCCAGGAAACAGAAGUGACUUUUAAUGCCCCUUAAAUGACAAACUUUGAAGUUCUCUUGGAUCACUUGUUUUACUGUACAGAAAAAUCUGGGGCUAAAUUUUUGAGAAUGAGAGGGCUCAGGUUGUUUUAAUACUGGCAGUUUUGAGGACCUCUGAGCCCAUAGUUGAGUGCUAUACAUUACUGAAAGGAUGCAAUUUCCUCAAACUACUUAUAUACUGCAGAGGCGCAGGUAUUUAAUUACUGCACUUAUUGAAGUUGAAUUAACAUAUCCUCCUCAGGUGAGAUUGCAAAUACAUAUGUUCAGGGUUUAUGUAGGGAAAUAAACAACAUCUGUGCAAAUGUGAAAAGUCACAUGGAGCCAGAAAUUGUCCUGUGAUUUCUGUUAGGAAUCCUAAACUUUCUGCCAAGGGUGUGUGUGUAUACAUACAAAAAUGUAUAUAUGAGUGCAUCAUAUGUUAUGAAGAUUGGAAAUUAGAGCAUAACUGAGGUGUACAGGCACUCCUAGGCUUUCAGCACUCCUUCUCCUGGUAACAUUGGUAGCAGUCAUCUUCAGUGUCUGUUUUACUCCCCAAGAUACUCUGUCUUGCACCAAAAGAUACAAGCUCUGUAGGUAACAGCUCUGCUCUUGAUUAUGCAGUAGAAACAGGAUGGGAACUUCUAUUCUAAAGGAUAAAAUGAAAAGAAAGUGUUUGGAUUGCAGAAUUCCUCUGCUGUUUGAGGCCUGUACAAAGUAGGUGGUUAUUUGUAUGUUUAUAUGAGGAUGUGAAGCAAGAACACUUUUGGCAGAAAGCAGGAAAGAUUUGUUACUGUUUGGGGUAGAUAUGAACACAGGCUCUGUGAGAAGCAAUCUUUAGAGUCGCGUUGUAAAGUUGAUGUUUGCUUUUUUUUGGCUUCAUAAGGAAGUUAGAGGGUCAGUAAACUUGACACAACAAAUAUGUUUGCACCUAGUAAAGCCAGUUACUGCUUAGUCCAUCUGGACUGAUACAUUUGCUGCUUUUAGCAGAUGGUGGCAAAACACAGGUGAAGGGGAAAAGUGACACUUUAACAUGUCUUAUGCAGAAAAUGAGAGAAUGGAUGGCAGGGAAUGAGGGAGUAGGUGUUAUGGAGGAAGUUGGAGAAAUAAAAACAGGUAGGUAUAAACCCGAGGAAAGAAGAGAUGUUAAAAAGAAUAAGUUAAAACAAAAAAAAAAAAGAAGAAAGGUGGGGUGGGGUGGGUGGUGAAGCUUCUAGGCUCUUAACAGAGAAUAUAGAACACAACAGGAUUAAGUCUGCCUUCCUUUGUGUAGGUCUGAAGUGAUGUAGAAAUAAGCAGUGGCUCUGCUAGAAUCUUUUAAAGAGCAUCUUGGUCACCUAACAAAUCCUGUGACAUGAGAAGGAAAACCAGAGUUCAAGAGAAUGGGAAUGAAGUAGCAUAAGGCAGAAAUCCCCACUGGACUAGUAAAUAGCUUGUGCUGAGUUUAAAUGCAGAAUUUCUUAGUAUAUAUCAGGGAAUAUGUGGAAGUUUAGUAUUUUUAAAUAAACUUAUUUAAAAUGGAGAA